rnacentral:rRNA from 1 species
GUAAUGCUUAGGAAUCUGCCUAUUAGUGGGGGACAACAUCUCGAAAGGGAUGCUAAUACCGCAUACGUCCUACGGGAGAAAGCAGGGGACCUUCGGGCCUUGCGCUAAUAGAUGAGCCUAAGUCGGAUUAGCUAGUUGGUGGGGUAAAGGCCUACCAAGGCGACGAUCUGUAGCGGGUCUGAGAGGAUGAUCCGCCACACUGGGACUGAGACACGGCCCAGACUCCUACGGGAGGCAGCAGUGGGGAAUAUUGGACAAUGGGGGGAACCCUGAUCCAGCCAUGCCGCGUGUGUGAAGAAGGCCUUUUGGUUGUAAAGCACUUUAAGCGAGGAGGAGGCUACCGAGAUUAAUACUCUUGGAUAGUGGACGUUACUCGCAGAAUAAGCACCGGCUAACUCUGUGCCAGCAGCCGCGGUAAUACAGAGGGUGCAAGCGUUAAUCGGAUUUACUGGGCGUAAAGCGCGCGUAGGUGGCCAAUUAAGUCAAAUGUGAAAUCCCCGAGCUUAACUUGGGAAUUGCAUUCGAUACUGGUUGGCUAGAGUAUGGGAGAGGAUGGUAGAAUUCCAGGUGUAGCGGUGAAAUGCGUAGAGAUCUGGAGGAAUACCGAUGGCGAAGGCAGCCAUCUGGCCUAAUACUGACACUGAGGUG